rnacentral:rRNA from 1 species
AGUCGUACGGGAGUUUUUAACUCAAGUGGCGGACGGGUGAGUAACACGUAAGAAUUUACCUUUAGGAGGGGGAUAACAACUGGAAACGGUUGCUAAUACCCCAUAUGCUUUCGAGUGAAAUGGUUUUUCCGCCUAAAGAGAAGCUUGCGGCUGAUUAGCUUGUUGGUGAGGUAAGAGCUCACCAAGGCGACGAUCAGUAGCUGGUCUGAGAGGACGAUCAGCCACACUGGAACUGAGACACGGUCCAGACACCUACGGGUGGCAGCAGUCGAGAAUCAUUCACAAUGGGGGAAACCCUGAUGGUGCAACGCCGCGUGGAGGAUGAAGGCCCUAGGGUCGUAAACUCCUGUCAUCGGAGAGUAAGCCUUGGUCGUUAAUAGCUUCCAAGGUUGAUAGUAUCCGAAGAGGAAGGGACGGCUAACUUCGUGCCAGCAGCCGCGGUAAUACGAAGGUCCCAAGCGUUGUUCGGAAUCACUGGGCGUAAAGAGUAUGUAGGCGGUUUGGAAAGUCAGGUGUGAAAUCCCGAGGCUCAGCCUCGGAACUGCAUCCGAUACUCCCAAACUAGAGUAAUGGAGGGGUGACUGGAAUUCUCGGUGUAGCAGUGAAAUGCGUAGAUAUCGAGAGGAACACUCGUGGCGAAGGCGAGUCACUGGACAUUUACUGACGCUGAGAUACGAAGGCCAGGGUAGCGAAAGGGAUUAGAUACCCCUGUAGUCCUGGCAGUAAACGGUGCGCGCUUGGUGUGGGAGGAUUCGACCCCUUCCGUGCCGGAGCUAACGCGUUAAGCGCGCCGCCUGGGGAGUACGGCCGCAAGGCUAAAACUCAAAGAAAUUGACGGGGACCCGCACAAGCGGUGGAGUAUGUGGCUUAAUUCGAUGCAACGCGAAGAACCUUACCCAGACUUGACAUGCUCAUCAUACCUUCCCGAAAAGGA